CUGACACGGAAGUAAAUUGAAGAACAAAGCCUUCAAACGACGAAGUGCUAAAAAGGAAGUGAAUCUUGUGUAAAUCAUCUUGUGCAUCAAAAAUUAAAACCUAGACAAGCCAUUUUGGACAUCUCUUCGAAUCUACGACAGUCUCAACAUGUGCGAUCCGUGCUGCAGUUCCUACGAUCUUUGCUACUCCUACUAUCCUUACUCCCGUUAUUACUCCUGCUCUUCGUGUCACCGAUGCUCGCUAUCAUGCUGCACGAAGCAUCAUCAUCGUUAUUGCUACCUGUGCUUCCGUUAUCAUCACUAAAAUGAGACCUUGAACUAAUUUCCUCCCGACCAAUCCCCGGCACCAUUUAAGUUCCACCGUCGCUAUUAUCCAUUUUCUAUGUUAAAUUCCACUUUCACCCACCCCUUUCAUCCAAUAGAAGUCACGUAAGAAGCAUCGAAUGACGAUUCAUGUGAAAAGGAAAUCGGUUCUACGUCGUUGUUGAUAUUCACCAACAUUCGAACGCACUGUUUUGCGAUGUCGCAGAAAGUGUUGCGGAGUACGUGCGUGACCUCGGACGUGCAGACUCGGUGGUAGAUACAUUCGUCUACCAGCCCCGCAGCUCUUGCCAAGUUCGUGCAGGUCGUUGUACCGCUGGUACACGUUAAGGGAAGCUCCAGGAAGAGGGUUGAGCUGCGGGAAGCAUACUUAUGCUCGAUGGGGUAACAGCAUGGAUCGAUACUAUUUUGUAAACACUGCGACUAGUGUGACUGAAAUAGCAUUUGCAUCACAAUUGAUACCACCCGAGACUCUCUAGUGGUCUUCCUCUUUUAUUAUUUUAACGAAAUUUAUUGGCGAUGGUGUCCCAGUUUCCUCGACGACAAACUCAUAUUUCAAUCACGGUCCCAUGCCCCUUGUCCCCAUCCACCAACCAAACAUUCUACACAGCCUUCCUCCAUCAUGUAAAUGCGUAACAUGCGCUUUCGCCCUGAGUCACUUGUUCAGUACAAAUUAUAGGCGCUCUGCAUGGUGCACAUCAGCAACAAAAUUCCAUCCUGCACAAAAUUCCGUCCACGCAUCAGAAGUUUCUGCAAGACGAAAUUGUUCUGCCACAAAAAUGCGCUUCAGGUCACGCAGCGUGUCAAAUUGUAUUGCUGUGCUUCUAAUUUCACGUCUUGUUAGCCGAGUAAUCAGCCGUUAACACGUUUUAUCGGAUCUACCUGUUGGAUCCAAAUCUGUUAGAACUUUCAGAGUUUAGAAAUUAGUGCGCCAGCAUAGCGGAGCGGCUUAGUAUCAAGAUGGAAUAUAAUUCAAUGUUGUUGCGCUUCAUAUUUAUCAUAAACAAUCAUAUAUUCACA